GUACAAACAAUAUUUGGAAAGAUAAUUAAGUGGUCCACUGAGGCCCCAAGUGAUUUUCAAGUGGUCUGUGGGAAAAUAAAAAAGUUUGAGAACCAC